UACAGAGGGUGCGAGCGUUGUCCGGAAUCACUGGGCGUAAAGGGCGCGUAGGCGGCUUUUCACGCGUGCGGUGAAAGCUCGGGGCUUAACUCCGAGUCUGCCGUGCGAACGGGGAGGCUUGAGUCUGGUAGAGGUCGAUGGAAUUCCGGGUGUAGCGGUGGAAUGCGUAGAGAUCCGGAAGAACACCGGUGGCGAAGGCGGCCUGCUGGGCUGUUGCUGACGCUGAGGCGCGACAGCGUGGGGAGCAAACGGG
rnacentral:rRNA from 1 species